rnacentral:rRNA from 1 species
AUUGAACGCUGGCGGCAGGCCUAACACAUGCAAGUCGAACGAGUGGCGGACGGGUGAGUAAUGUCUGGGAAACUGACUGAUGGAGGGGGAUAACUACUGGAAACGGUGGCUAAUACCGCAUACCAUCGGAUGUGCCCAGAUGGGAUUAGCUAGUAGGUGGGGUAAAGGCUCACAUAGGCGACGAUCCCUAGCUGGUGUGAGAGGAUGACCACCCACACUGGAACUGAGACACGGGCCAGAGUCCUACGGUAGGCAGCAUUGGGGAAUAUUGCACAAUGGGCGCAAGCCUGAUGCAGCCAUGCCGGGUGUAUGAAGAAGGCCUUCGGGUUGUAAAGUACUUUCAGCAGGGAGGCGUUACCCGCAGAAGAAGCACCGGCUAACUCCGUGCCAGCAGGCGCGGUAAUUC